CACGGCCAUAUCGCGUUGAAAUCACAGUUCCCGUACAAUCACCGAAGUUGGGACUGGUUAGUACUUAGAUGAGUGACCUCUUGGGAAUACCUGGUGCUGUAAG